rnacentral:pre_miRNA from 1 species
AAAAAUUUUAUUCGUGGUUUUUCUGUUCAAUAUUUGAUCGUCUGUCUUAUUUGAAUUUUUUUUAUAAUUAAUAUUUUUAUUGUUAUUAGAUGAUAAAAUAUAAAUAGUACUAUAUACAUGACUUAUUUUCUAAUUUUUCAUAAAUUCUUCGAAUAAGACGAAUGGUCACGUUGGAUAUACAAAUCC